AACGAACGCUGGCGGCAGGCCUAACACAUGCAAGUCGAACGCCCUAGCAAUAGGGAGUGGCGCACGGGUGCGUAACACGUGGGAAUGUACCCCAGGGUAAGGAAUAAUGUCUGGAAACGGACACUAAUACCUUAUAAUGACUUUGGUCCAAAGAUUUAUCGCCCUGGGAUCAGCCCGCGUCUGAUUAGCUAGUUGGUGAGGUAAUGGCUCACCAAGGCAACGAUCAGUAGCUGGUCUGAGAGGAUGAUAAGCCACACUGGAACUGAGACACGGUCCAGACUCCUACGGGAGGCAGCAGUGAGGAAUAUUGCACAAUGGAGGAAACUCUGAUGCAGCCAUGCCGCGUGAGUGAUGAAGGCCUUCGGGUUGUAAACCUCUUUUAGUAGGGAAGAAGCGAAAGUGACGGUACCUACAGAAAAAGCACCGGCUAACUACGUGCCAGCAGCCGCCGUAA
rnacentral:rRNA from 1 species